rnacentral:rRNA from 1 species
GAUGAACGCUGGCGGCGUGCCUAAUACAUGCCAGUCGAGCGAACAGACGAGGAGCUUGCUCCUCUGACGUUAGCGGCGGACGGGUGAGUAACACGUGGAUAACCUACCUAUAAGACUGGGAUAACUUCGGGAAACCGGAGCUAAUACCGGAUAAUAUAUUGAACCGCAUGGUUCAAUAGUGAAAGACGGUUUUGCUGUCACUUAUAGAUGGAUCCGCGCCGCAUUAGCUAGUUGGUAAGGUAACGGCUUGCCAAGGCAACGAUGCGUAGCCGACCUGAGAGGGUGAUCGGCCACACUGGAACUGAGACACGGUCCAGACUCCUACGGGAGGCAGCAGUAGGGAAUCUUCCGCAAUGGGCGAAAGCCUGACGGAGCAACGCCGCGUGAGUGAUGAAGGUCUUCGGAUCGUAAAACUCUGUUAUUAGGGAAGAACAAAUGUGUAAGUAACUAUGCACGUCUUGACGGUACCUAAUCAGAAAGCCACGGCUAACUACGUG